rnacentral:lncRNA from 1 species
CCGACGCCUCCCUCGUAGCUAUAGACGUUGUUAUAUUACAUCAUGUUGAUACUCGAAAAUAGUGCUGUAUAAUUUACAGAUAUUUAUACAAAUACUUAUUAUAACAUUAUGAAUGUGUUACAUGCCACUAUACUUUGGAUUUGUAUCUAGUACGUACCUUCAAUUUUGCUAGACCACUUAUCUUUCUAGAGUAUUUUGUUCGCAACAUGGCCAUAAUUAUGUGCUUCGCGGUUGGUGUUCUGUCCUAGAAAUAUUAUUUAUCUUAGCUAUUUUAUUUUUCAUUCAGGUACACGAGUACAGUCACACAUAAAAGAAGAAAAGUAAAAGAACAAAACUUUAACUUGAUCCUGCUAUUCUAGUUGAACAUGGUUGAUGCAUGACUUGUACCUUAAUUUCUCAAAGAAACAUUUUCUUGCAGAAGUACAUUUAUUAGAGAUAUGACCAAACAUUUCUCUCAGCACGUGGUGUCCGUUUCUUCCUAGAUGUCAAAGAGAUUAAUCAGGUGUUUGAAGGAGAAAAGCCACAAAAGAAGGUAAUCAUGUGUUAUAUUUUCUUUUAAAAUUUACAGUAGAAAACAGUAUCUACAAUUAUCUUCUGUUAGUAUUGGGCAUGGAAGUUUGUCAAGUAGGUUACACAUUCAGAAGCUCAUGACCAAACGUUUUAAAAUAAACCAGCAUUUUAGUGUAUAGAUGGAUGUAUGCAGAAGCUCAAGACAACAAGUGUGUGUAUAUAUACAGCUUCCGCAUCAAAUGACGGCCGGGCCUCAUCCCUUUACCUUCUUCCAUUCAACCUGCUCCGUAAGUUUCUUUGUCAGUAUAAAGUAGAGAUUGUGUGGUUUGCCUACCUUACCCACUCGAUGAAAGGGAAUUAACUUCGUUUCCUUGGUGCGAGACAUGCCGUUUUCUCUAUUUGUACAUUUACUUUAAUAUUCUUGUUUUAGAGAUUUUUUAUCACAUGUUUUCAUUUGUUUAUCUUAUGCAGAAGAAAAAUGAUCGCAGUGGUCAGGCAAGUGGUAUGAAACCCCAACUAUACAACUUUGAAUUCUUGAGUUCACACAAAAUUUCCAGUAAUUUUCUAUUGUAACUCUAGAAAUUUACCUCAUAUUGUGAUACUAAAUUUCAAUCCUUUUGUUUAAUUGAAGUGUCUCCUUAUUCUAGAG